UGUCCAAUGCGGGGAUCGAACCCGGGUCGUAGUGGUCGUAAACCAAACGGUUUAACCAGCCUUCCACUGACCCGAAAGGAAGGAC